AAAAGAGCUUGGGAAUCAUUUAUCACACAGCAAAUAUGUGAUGGAAGUUCCGUCUCAAAUGCAUCAAGGGGGGAAAAAUCAAAUAAUGCAUUCAAAGAGUUAAAGCAACAAGAACGCUUCACUAGAAUAGACCAAUGUACAAAUACACAAAAUGCCCUAAACUAAAUCCUCACAGCUCCCCCACGUCAGGAACCAAACAUGCUGAUUAAGCAAAACACAUUACAUUACACGAGCCCCUUCGCUAAAAGCUUCAACUGCUCUCGACUCAGAUGGGGCACCAUAAAAUACAACGCUGAGGGACGGGCUAAUUUGCAUAGAUACCCAUAGGGCAGGCAUGCCAACCUACCACUCUCCUCUAUUUCAGACAUUGAGACACCUCCAAUGGAGAACCAGCUCUUCAACUUACAAAAUACACUUACAGAAAAAGCAAUACCAUUAUCAAUUUUUAACU
rnacentral:misc_RNA from 1 species